rnacentral:misc_RNA from 1 species
AUUUCAAAGAAAAUCUAUAACAUCCCCAGCUUGCCCUCUUUACCACAAUAAUCGAUUGAGCAUCUUUUACUUUUUAGUGCCCAUGCCAAAGCAAUUUGGUUUGAACCCCCUUUUGGUUUCACUCCGAUCAAGAUUGGAUUCGGAUCUUUUGUUGAUUUGUGGAUAUCUGUUAUGCAGUUAUUUCUCUCCCAUGAAGGAAAAGAGU